CCGGAUUUAUUGGGUUUAAAGGGUGCGUAGGCGGCUAUUUAAGUCAGCGGUGAAAUUUUGCAGCUUAACCGUAACAGUGCCGUUGAAACUGUUUAGCUAGGAUUUGGUUGCAGUGUGCGGAAUGUGUGGUGUAGCGGUGAAAUGCUUAGAUAUCACACAGAACACCAAUUGCGAAGGCAGCACACUAAGUCAAUAUUGACGCUGAGGCACGAAAGUGUGGGGAUCAAACAGGAUUAGAUACCCUGGUAGUCCACACUGUAAACGAUGAUAACUCGCUGCCGGCGAUACAUCGUUGGUGGCCAAGCGAAAGCAUUAAGUUAUCCACCUGGGGAGUACGACCGCAAGGUUGAAACUCAAAGGAAUUGACGGGGGCCCGCACAAGCGGAGGAACAUGUGGUUUAAUUCGAUGAUACGCGAGGAACCUUACC
rnacentral:rRNA from 1 species